GAAAUUUUCCCUUGUGCGGAUUUUCUUUGUUAAUUUUCUGUCCAACACUUCUUCAGCCUGACAUUAUUAAUACGGAAAUUAAUUAUUCGGAGGCCUAAAUGAAAGAAUUUGGCUAAAAUCCCGUGGUCCCGGGUCUAUGUCCCGAGUCCAAAUUCUCAGGUCGUUUCCAUUCAACCAGCCAAAUUUCGGCCCAUUCCGACACUGUCGCGACAAAUGACGAAAUUG
rnacentral:lncRNA from 1 species